rnacentral:rRNA from 1 species
AUUGAGCGCUGGCGGCAUGCUUUACACAUGCCAGUCGAACGGUAACAGGCCUUCGGGUGCUGACGAGUGGCGAACGGGUGAGUAAUGCAUCGGAACGUGCCCAGAGGUGGGGGAUAACGCAGCGAAAGCUGUGCUAAUACCGCAUGUGAUCUGAGGAUGAAAGCGGGGGACCAGGCAGCAAUGUUUGGCCUCGCGCCUUUGGAGCGGCCGAUGUCAGAUUAGGUAGUUGGUGGGGUAAAGGCCUACCAAGCCGACGAUCUGUAGCUGGUCUGAGAGGACGACCAGCCACACUGGGACUGAGACACGGCCCAGACUCCUACGGGAGGCAGCAGUGGGGAAUUUUGGACAAUGGGCGCAAGCCUGAUCCAGCAAUGCCGCGUGCGGGAAGAAGGCCUUCGGGUUGUAAACCGCUUUUGUACGGAACGAAAAGGCUCUGGCUAAUACCUGGGGCUGAUGACGGUACCGUAAGAAUAAGCACCGGCUAACUACGUG